rnacentral:rRNA from 1 species
AUGCUGGAUCUACCGGAUUAUCUAAUACCAAGACUUAAGAUGCGAUUCAAAGAUGUAGAGAAAGCAAGGGAAUUUUAUAACAGAUACGCCAGGCACGCUGGUUUUGGAAUCAGGAAGACGGGUGGAAAUGACAACCACAAGUAUUUUGUUUGCGCCUUCCAAGGGAUACACACAUCUUCUGUUUCAGAGGCCAAUAGGAAGCGAAACAAAACAUCGCAGAGGACGGGCUGCAAUGCAAGAAUGAGGGUGAAGGUGCAGGAGGAUGGCACAUGCAUGGCAGUGGACAUUGAGUACAAUCAUAAUCACCAGCUCAUGCAAACUGAUGACAUCCUGGUAUUCUUGCACUCACACAAGAAUUAUGACCCCACUAUUCUGGAGUAUGUAAAGCUCCUGCAGUACCAUGAUGUCAAGAACACAACAAUCAUGUCCAUGCUAUCUAAAAAUGAAGAUGGAAGCUACUUCCUAAGCAUGACCGGACGAGACCUGCUAAACCAGAAAGCCAUGAAUGCAAGGAAAGAAGAUCUGGAUGAUGUAUUAAAACUUGUUUCAUUCUUCAAAGACAUGAAGGCAAUAAAUGAUGAGUUCUUCUAUGACAUCCAAGUGGACAAGGACAAGUCAAUUAAAAACAUUUUCUGGUCCAAUGCAAGCUGCCGAGGAGCCUACCAAGACGGUGAUUGCGUAACAUUCGACACGACUAACAAGACCAACAGAUUUCAUAUGCCCCUGGGAGUGUUUGUUGGAACAAACCAUCACUUGCAGUCAACGAUAUUUGCCGUUGCCCUGAUAAGGGACGAAGAUGCAAAGUCAUUCAAGUGGCUGUUCGAUACAUUUCUAUGGUGCAUGAACAACAAGCACCCAACUUGCAUUCUCACAGACCAGUGCCCAUCGAUGGCGAAAGCUAUACCGCAAUCAUUUCCAAACACCAUCCACAAGCUAUGCCGUUGGCACAUAUUGAAGAAGUACAGGGAAUACCUCGCGUUGCUGUACAAAAAGUAUGAUACACUCAAAGAGGAGUUCACAGCUAUAUUGAACUGGCCGCUGAUGCCAACGGAGUUUGAAGAUGCCUGGGCUGAACUCGUGCACAAGUACCACCUGGAGAAUGACCAAAUGAUGAUGCAGCUCUGGAGUGAUAGGAAGAUGUGGAUCUCAGCAUAUUACAAGAACAUUUUCUGUGCUAGAAUGACUUCCACACAACGAAGCGAGAGCAUGAACCACGUGCUAAAGAAAGGGUGUGUCAAGGGGACCUAG